AUUGAACGCUGGCGGCAUGCCUUACACAUGCAAGUCGAACGGCAGCGCGGGAGCAAUCCUGGCGGCGAGUGGCGAACGGGUGAGUAAUAUAUCGGAACGUGCCCAGUAGUGGGGGAUAGCCCGGCGAAAGCCGGAUUAAUACCGCAUGAGACCUGAGGGUGAAAGCGGGGGAUCGCAAGACCUCGCGCUAUUGGAGCGGCCGAUAUCAGAUUAGCUAGUUGGUGGGGUAAAGGCCUACCAAGGCAACGAUCUGUAGUUGGUCUGAGAGGACGACCAGCCACACUGGGACUGAGACACGGCCCAGACUCCUACGGGAGGCAGCAGUGGGGAAUUUUGGACAAUGGGCGCAAGCCUGAUCCAGCAAUGCCGCGUGCAGG
rnacentral:rRNA from 1 species